GGGCUCGCAAAAUCGCCCGUCGGGCUAUAUGAUAACCCGACGGGCGGGGCUGAGAUAGAUUUUGGUCGCCCGACCGGAGAUAUCGCUAGCUCCGGGACGUCGGGCUAGAGAUUUUGCGAGCCUCGAGUUGUGUAUUAGUUGACAAAUAAAUAAAUAAAACCCCAAUAAUCUGACAAUUCCCUCUGAGCAAGCACUCGGCGACAGUGGGGAGGAAAAACUUUCUUUUAAAAGCAAGAAACCUCCGGCAGAACCAGGCUCAGUGAGGGACGGCCAUCUGCCUCGACCGGUCGUGGGAUUUUUAAAGUGACUCAUUGGAUGUGAAAUAAAUUAGCUUGUUUGAAUCGUUUGUUGUUAGCCAAUUUAAAGAGUCACUUUGAUGUCAACUAAUACACUUAAACUGUCCAAAUAAUUUUAAAUAAUAAUUUUGCAGGCAGUUGGAGUGGUCAGAAGCACUUGGUAUGGACAUCAAGUUGUUAUUAAGUUCUGUUUUUCCUGAGAAUUUCAUUUUUUUUUGCACUUUAAGUUGCUAUUAAGUUUCUCAAGCUCUUUGUUUUCCCUGAGCAUUUCAUUGUUUUUGCACUUUAAAUUGCUAUUAAGUUUCUCAAGCUCUUUGUUUUCCCUGAGCAUUUCAUUGUUUUUGCACUUUAAAUUGUUAUUAAGUUUCUCAAGCUCUUUGUUUUCCCUGAGCAUUUCAUUGUUUUUGCACUUUAAAGUCUUAUUAAUUUCCUCGAGCUCUGUGUUUUCCUUGAGCAUUUUCUUCUUUUUGUAUUUUAAGUUGUUAUUAAUUUCCUCGAGCUCUGUGUUUUCCUUGAGCAUUUUCUUGUUUUUGUAUUUUAAGUUGUUAUUAAUUUCCUCGAGCUCUGUGUUUUCCUUGAGCAUUUUCUUCUUUUUGUAUUUUAAGUUGUUAUUAAUUUCCUCGAGCUCUGUGUUUUCCUUGAGCAUUUUCUUCUUUUUGUAUUUUAAGUUAUUAAUUUCCUCGAGCUCUGUGUUUUCCUUGAGCAUUUUCUUCUUUUUGUAUUUUAAGUUGUUAUGAAGUUCCUCAAGCUCUGUGCUCUUCUUUAGGAUUUCACUGUAUUUGUAGUUUAAGUUCUUAUUCUGUCCCUCGAGCUCUGUGUUCUUUCUCAGGAUUUCAUCAAUUUUGUAUUUUAUGAUGUUAGAAAGUUCCACAAGCUCUGAGUUCUUGCUUAGCAUUUCAUUGCAAAUGUGCUGCGCGCCUGAGUAUUGUUUUAUCAGUUUUUCCCUUUCUCCUUCUAGUUCCAUGAUUUUCUCCUUCAUUUCAUUAGAACAUGCGUGUAGUUGUAGAUUUUUCCUUUCUAAGUCUUGGAGAAUAACUUGUGUCUUUUUCUGCAUUUUUUCCUGUUGCUGUUUCUCUUGAAGAAACUCUUUGUUUUUCUCCAGGGCUUCAUCAAGUUUUAGGUGAAGCUGCAGAUUCUUGUUCUCAGUGUCUUUGAGAUUCCCAUAGAGCUCCUGAUUAAUAGCUUCUGUUUGUUGAAGCUGGUAGGACAUUUUUCUUAACUGGUCGCAGUUCUGCUUGUUUGUUGUCAUCAGGCUUGCAAUAUGCUGCGGAUCUUCAAUAAAGAUUAUUUCCCAGCCCUUAUUUACAAUAUCUACACCGGGCAGGUUUUGUGUAUUUUUAUUUUCUUCGUCUUGCUGGUUUAUGAGACUUUCAUCGUGAAACAUUUCUGCAUUUCUGUGCAGUGCUUCAUUAAGCUUUACUUGCAAGACUUUGUUUUGUUUCUUCAUGGUCUGAAGUUUACAUUCCAUUUUUUUCUCCUUUCUUUAAAUGUAAAGACUUCUUUUUAAAUGUAAUAACAUAAAAAAAAAACCUCCUCAGCCAUCAAAAUAACUUG
ensembl:lncRNA